CAGUCGCCACGGUAAUACGGAGGGAGCUAGCGUUGUUCGGAAUUACUGGGCGUAAAGCGCACGUAGGCGGCUUUGUAAGUCAGAGGUGAAAGCCUGGAGCUCAACUCCAGAACUGCCUUUGAGACUGCAUCGCUCGAAUCCGGGAGAGGUGAGUGGAAUUCCGAGUGUAGAGGUGAAAUUCGUAGAUAUUCGGAAGAACACCAGUGGCGAAGGCGGCUCACUGGACCGGUAUUGACGCUGAGGUGCGAAAGCGUGGGGAGCAAACAGGAUUAGAUACCCCUGUAGUCCCUGUCUCUUAUAC
rnacentral:rRNA from 1 species